rnacentral:sRNA from 1 species
AUUUGACAAAAUCUUGCAAGGAAUUUUGAAACAGUGUGGUAGUUUUUUGGAGAGAAGUCCACUCUGAAGUAUUUUAGUGCGUGUUUACCGGGACUGAGCGGAUCAGCCGAUAGAGUUUAUCAAAAAAGA